rnacentral:rRNA from 1 species
CUCCUACGGGAGGCAGCAGUGGGGAAUAUUGGACAAUGGGGGCAACCCUGAUCCAGCCAUGCCGCGUGGGUGAAGAAGGCCUUAGGGUUGUAAAACUCUUUCAGCGGGGAAGAUGAUGACGGUACCCGCAGAAGAAGCCCCGGCUAACUCCGUGCCAGCAGCCGCGGUAAUACGGAGGGGGCAAGCGUUGUUCGGAAUUACUGGGCGUAAAGGGCGUGUAGGCGGUUUGUCUAGUCAGGCGUGAAAGCCCCGGGCUUAACCUGGGAACUGCGUUUGAUACUGACAGGCUAGAGGUUGGGAGAGGAGAGUGGAAUUCCCAGUGUAGAGGUGAAAUUCGUAGAUAUUCGGAGGAACACCAGUGGCGAAGGCGGCUUACUGGCUCGAUACUGACGCUGAGGUACGAAAGUGUGGGGAGCAAACAGGAUUAGAUACCCUGGUAGUCCACACCGUAAACGAUGAAUGCCAGUCGUCGGCAAGCAUGCUUGUCGGUGACACACCUAACGGAUUAAGCAUUCCGCCUGGGGAGUACGGUCGCAAGAUUAAAACUCAAAGGAAUUGACGG